rnacentral:rRNA from 1 species
UACAGAGGUCUCAAGCGUUGUUCGGAUUCAUUGGGCGUAAAGGGUGCGUAGGCGGCGCGGUAAGUCGGGUGUGAAAUCUUGGAGCUUAACUCCGAAACUGCAUUCGAUACUGCCGUGCUUGAGGACUGGAGAGGAGACUGGAAUUUACGGUGUAGCGGUGAAAUGCGUAGAUAUCGUAAGGAAGACCAGUGGCGAAGGCGGGUCUCUGGACAGUUCCUGACGCUGAGGCACGAAG